GAAUUCACUAGUGAUUCAGGCCUAACACAUGCAAGUCGAGCGGUAGAGAGAAGCUUGCUUCUCUUGAGAGCGGCGGACGGGUGAGUAAUGCCUAGGAAUCUGCCUGGUAGUGGGGGAUAACGUUCGGAAACGGACGCUAAUACCGCAUACGUCCUACGGGAGAAAGCAGGGGACCUUCGGGCCUUGCGCUAUCAGAUGAGCCUAGGUCGGAUUAGCUAGUUGGUGAGGUAAUGGCUCACCAAGGCUACGAUCCGUAACUGGUCUGAGAGGAUGAUCAGUCACACUGGAACUGAGACACGGUCCAGACUCCUACGGGAGGCAGCAGUGGGGAAUAUUGGACAAUGGGCGAAAGCCUGAUCCAGAAAGGCCGCGUGUGUGAAGAAGGUCUUCGGA
rnacentral:rRNA from 1 species